GAUUUUUUCUGUUGAUGUUCAUGUGUUAUAUCUGCAUAAGCUGACAUUGAAGAGAGCAAUAAUAAUUUGGCGAUAAUAAUUAAACUUUAAGGUUACAUAUUUUUUGUUCUCCCCAGCACUUGGUUAUGCUGCCUAUUGAAUGAUGGAAAAUGUAAAACCUCACAAGGGUCUAAUGAGAAUAAUAUGCAACUUAAAAAUCAUGAUUUAUGCACAUUCCUUCUCUAUUUUGUUUGUCGAAACG
rnacentral:misc_RNA from 1 species